rnacentral:rRNA from 1 species
UACGGAAGGGGCUAGCGUUGUCCGGAAUCAUUGGGCGUAAAGAGCGUGUAGGCGGCCCGGUAAGUCCGCUGUAAAAGUCAAAGGCUCAACCUUUGAAUGUCAGUGGAUACUGCCGGGCUAGAGUCCGGAAGAGGCGAGUGGAACUCCUGGUGUAGCGGUGGAAUGCGCAGAUAUCAGGAAGAACACCAACGGCGAAGGCAGCUCGCUGGGACGGUACUGACGCUGAGACGCGAAAGCGUGGGGAGCGAACAGG